rnacentral:rRNA from 1 species
AUUGAACGCUGGCGGCAGGCCUAACACAUGCAAGUCGAACGAGUGGCGGACGGGUGAGUAAUUUCUGGGCAACUGCCUGAUGGAGGGGGCUAACUACUGGAAACGUUAGCUAAUACCGCAUACCAUCGGAUCUGCUCAGAGGGGAUUAGCUAGCAGGUGGGGUAACGGCUCACCUAGGCGACGAUCCCUAGCUGGUCUGAGAGGAUGACCAGCCACACUGGAACUGAGACACGGUCCAGACUCCUACGGGAGGCAGCAGUGGGGAAUAUUGCACAAUGGGCGCAAGCCUGAUGCAGCCAUGCCGCGUGAAUGAAGAAGGCCUUCGGGUUGUAAAGUACUGUCAGCGGGGAAGCGUUACCCGCAGAAGAAGCAACGGCUAACUCCGUGCCAGCAGCCGCGGUAAUUC